rnacentral:rRNA from 1 species
ACGUUAGCGGCGGACGGGUGAGUAACACGUGGGUAACCUACCUAUAAGACUGGGAUAACUUCGGGAAACCGGAGCUAAUACCGGAUAAUAUUCGAACCGCAUGGUUCGAUAGUGAAAGAUGGUUUUGCUAUCACUUAUAGAUGGACCCGCGCCGUAUUAGCUAGUUGGUAAGGUAACGGCUUACCAAGGCGACGAUACGUAGCCGACCUGAGAGGGUGAUCGGCCACACUGGAACUGAGACACGGUCCAGACUCCUACGGGAGGCAGCAGCG